UACGGAGGGUGCGAGCGUUAAUCGGAAUUACUGGGCGUAAAGGGUGCGUAGGUGGUUGAUUAAGUUAUCUGUGAAAUUCCUGGGCUUAACCUGGGCAGGUCAGAUGAUACUGAUUGACUCGAGUAUUGUAGAGGGUAGUGGAAUUUCCGGUGUAGCGGUGAAAUGCGUAGAGAUCGGAAGGAACAUCGGUGGCGAAGGCGGCUACCUGGACAGAUACUGACACUGAGGCACGAAAGCGUGGGGAGCGAACAGG
rnacentral:rRNA from 1 species